UACGUAGGUGGCGAGCGUUGUCCGGAUUUACUGGGCGUAAAGGGAGCGUAGGCGGACUUUUAAGUGAGAUGUGAAAUACCCGAGCUCAACUUGGGUGCUGCAUUUCAAACUGGAAGUCUAGAGUGCAGGAGAGGAGAAUGGAAUUCCUAGUGUAGCGGUGAAAUGCGUAGAGAUUAGGAAGAACACCAGUGGCGAAGGCGAUUCUCUGGACUGUAACUGACGCUGAGGCUCGAAAGCGUGGGGAACAAACAGGAUUAGAUACCCCU
rnacentral:rRNA from 1 species